rnacentral:rRNA from 2 species
GGGAAUAUUGCACAAUGGGCGCAAGCCUGAUGCAGCGACGCCGCGUGAGGGAUGACGGCCUUCGGGUUGUAAACCUCUUUCAGCAGGGAAGAAGCGCAAGUGACGGUACCUGCAGAAGAAGCACCGGCUAACUACGUGCCACAGCCGCGGUAAUACGUAGGGUGCGAGCGUUGUCCGGAAUUAUUGGGCGUAAAGAGCUCGUAGGCGGCUUGUCGCGUCGGAUGUGAAAGCCCGGGGCUUAACCCCGGGUCUGCAUUCGAUACGGGCAGGCUAGAGUUCGGCAGGGGAGAUUGGAAUUCCUGGUGUAGCGGUGAAAUGCGCAGAUAUCAGGAGGAACACCGGUGGCGAAGGCGGAUCUCUGGGCCGAUACUGACGCUGAGGAGCGAAAGCGUGGGGAGCGAACAGGAUUAGAUACCCUGGUAGUCCACGCCGUAAACGUUGGGCACUAGGUGUGGGCGGCAUUCCACGUCGUCCGUGCCGCAGCAAACGCAUUAAGUGCCCCCGCCC